CCUUCCAACCCUGGACAUUCUGUGAUUCUGUGAUUCCUCCGGCUGCUAUUACUGGUGAGGAGAGCAGCUCUGUUUCCUGGGCUGAUGGAUGUGGUCCUGGCCCCAGAGGCAUGCACUAUAUACAGCACAAGGUUCAGCCUGGUUCGGCCUUGUGUCUGUGACAAGGGAGCAAAGAGACCCACAGUUCCAUGCCCUGGGAAGUGCAGGGAGAGAAAGGGAAAAGGUAGAGAGACUGCAUAGGAAAACAUCAGCAAUGAGCUACAGGAAAAAACUGAGUUUACUAAAUAUAGCAGCUGUAUGUGAGAUAAUAGAAUAGAAUAUGAUUGGAAUUGAAGCUAAUCAAAUAACAUGAGAGUUUCUGAAACCAAGCAACUUGCUCUAACUGUGUAGGCUGCUGCCCCUGUCUCCUCACACUGGGUAUUUGCAGAAGGAAGGAACACACGGUUUACUGGCUCCACGAGCCCCAGCACAGGGGGACACAGCGGGAAGCAGGGGCAGCCUGGUGUUAAGUGUGAGCAGCAGAGUCUCUUGGAUCUUGCCACUACAUGGCAAAUAAAUGACUCGCAACAAAUUAGAUCCCUGACAGAUCUUUUCAUUAUGCAAGCUUUAAUAGCAAAUGGCACUGUUUCCUAAAAGAGUUUUAUGGAAACAUGAUAUUACAUUUACCUGGAAAAAUGAAAAGAACAAACCAGAGUGUUCAUCCUUACGCGCAAAAAUCACCAUCAAUAAAGCAGCUAUGCCUUUGUCUGAAACAUUUCUGUGAGAGUGGGUAAUUAGUAUUUCAAAACCUACUCUGAUCAGCCACUGGCAGCUUACAAGGCGCGUGCUCAGCUGCUUGGCAUCCCUGACAGCUGAGCACAGGUGACCGACCAAUAAACUCCACUAUACUUCUAAUUAAAAAGUGAUUCCACUUAUCUUUGCCUUCCUUGCAACACUGCUUCCUUUCAGUGCACUGAGUCAUAUCUGUAGGAGUAGGAUCUGAAACGACGUCAUUUGCAUCCCUACAAGUGCUGUGGAUUACUUAGAAUUUUAGGCCAGUUUGCUUUCUUCAGGAAAAAAUCAACUGGACAUGGAUAAAACCAGUCCAAGGAUGGAGCCAGAGAAUUAUUUCUAUUACAAAAUGUCCCCCCACCUACAAACUGUGUGCAUAUGAACAACUAAGCAUUUUGAUUUUUAAUUUUAUUCCUUUGUCUUUUUAAACCAAUAAUUAAUAUGUUUACUAACACCUUGUGUACCUCUGAUGUCUAUAAAGCCAUUACUAAUAUUCAGUAAUUCUAUCCCAUUUAUCCUCAAGCUUAUAUGGUAAACAUGCAACAUGCAUUGAUGUUCAUGGAGCUGCAGCUACUCUGAGCACAUUCACAAGCAACCCAGCACAGGGACUGUGCCUGAGACAGAAUAUGAAAUCCAACAGGAGACAGCAAAUUAUGUUCUCAGUUCAGUCACUGGGUUGGAUCCGACUGCUUCCCUCAGUCCUGCCCUCAGAAAAAUUUAGGAUUUCAAUGCAAUUUUGUCUUAGCCCACUGUGUCUUUGCGCACCCUGCUGGCUCACAUUGAAUAUCCCAUCGGCCAACAUUCAAAGGGACCAAGCAAUAAGAUGAAAAUCUUUCCUUGUUAUGUUAACAUAGAGACUGAAUCUCCAUGGGGAAGAAGAAAAAAGGUGUGAGCCUGCCCAACAUCUCCUGUGCCUACACAGAAGUCAGUAGAUUUUGAUUGCCAUAGAAAAUGGAAAAUGGUGGCUGAGAAGGGGAUAACAAAUGCUUUCAAGCAGGUAGGUGAUGGCACUGGAACCAGUGAAACGGGCUGUGGUCAGGAAAUAAAAAAGAGCAGUGCCCGCAUGGCUCUCAGCGUAGGAUGAAGAAGAUGUACAGGCAGGCUGAUGGUUCUAAUGUAUCACGCAUGCCUUUUGCAUCUCUGUUGGCAGUACAGAGUUAACAACAGUUUUGGCAAUUAAAUACACAUUUAGGAGUCAACCAAAAGGGACAGAGACAAGUUUGCUUAGUAUUACGUCUGGAGUCACUAGUCUUGAAAGCAGUUGCACACAAAUUGUACCACUGCACAGUGAGGUCACCCGUAUUCAAGACUUUGCCUGUACUGGCAAAUACAGACACGUACUGCCACUUACAUACAUUAUACUGGUGCUUGCAGACCCCAAAUCAUUUUUGUUAAGACAAUGCAUCAUAUCUAAAUCACCUCUAAUGAAAUUAAAUCAGCUUGAUAGCAAUACUGCCACUUAGAUCACAAUUUUUUUUAAAUUACAGAAUUUUGUUAUUUUUCUUCUAAUAUUUACAGCUGUCUUUUACAAGAAAACUGCUCCAAGAGGCUGCAGUGGCUUCUUUGAGCUAUUACACCCAACUGGGCAGUGCAGGGAUUUCUCUAUGGGCUAGGCUCAGUAACAAUUCCCUCUCAGGUCAUAAGCAUGGCUUGUAUUUUGCUCAUGUAGGAGGGGUUGACAGUAGGUCAUCUUCUGCUCUGGUGGUGCUCUUACUGGUGUUAAACCCAGGGCACCUCUCCCAAAACUGUGUCUACCAUAUGUAUGUCUCUAGAGAUGGUUCCUAGGGUUAUAGUGAACUGCUCUUCUGUGGGGGUAGCAGUGUAGAUUUUGUAUUGGACUUAUGAGGUCAGUGUAACAUGGACUUCUCUUGUUGCAACUGGCUUCAGCCGUUGCUCCCUUUCAGCCCCGUGAGAGCACACUGGAAUAUUAUCAAAGCAGCAGCUGCUUUGUUUUAAUGGAGAAGUAAGUUCUAUCAUGUUGCCUCCCCCAGUGUCACUGGUGUCCCAGCUGAUUUUGCUUUGUCUCUUCACAGUGACUUGGGAAGAAAAAUUUUGACCAACUUGCUGCAAAAAAAAUUGGAAAUGGUGCUCAAAGUGUCACGUACAGAUAUUCAGCAGCAUUUCUCGAUGCCCAGAACUGUUCUGAUAGGAACAGGUAGAACCAAUAUCAAGGUCAAACCUAUCCGUGUCUUUUCUUUUUAAAUGUCUUUUUAUUUUUUUUCUUCAGAAUGCUCCCAAUGUGGAGUUUUGUCAUAUGUUUAUGCAGCUUCUUCCAAAAAGCAGAGUGCGUUCUUUCCUCUUCAUGAUGUUGUGAGACUGGUAUGAGCCCAGAAAAGGUUGGAGGAAGGGUUCUGCAAGAUAAGGUGUCUAGCAUCUAAACUGCAAGGAAGAGCAGAGUGAGCUCCUGCUCUGACACUGGAGAGAUGCUUCCAAAAAGAAUGGAUACACAGAAUCUCACGUGGUCUGUGAUAAAGUGCAAUGGGGCAACUUCCAGUUCCAAAGCUGUCUGAAAAGAGAAGAAAAAGCUAUAAUUGAUUCCAUCAGCCCUUCACGUGUUAAAACAAAAGAUAACAUCCAGGGAAACCUCCUUCUGCUAGAAAUAUGAGGAACUCAAAAGCUUUGAGUCUCUUUUUCCUUCUGAAGGGAGUACGUGCUCAACAGAGAUGAUCCACUUCAACCUAUCUUCUGCACACUGUUAGGUUCUGGACCACUAGCAUGGAAAACUGAAGUCCUGGGGGGAAAACAAAACAAAACAAAACAAAACAAAAAAAAAAAAAACAAAAAAAACCACAGCAAAAAGAGGAACAAUACCAUCUUGAAGACACUUGUAACAAAACUGGAGUUGUUGAAAUACAUCAAGGAAGGAAGAGUUUAUUUCAACAGACCCCAGCUGGCUCCUACUCUUACUGUUCAGUAAAAUGUCGGUUCUCAGGGCUUCAGUAGAAGUGCUGGAAACCACUUCUCGCUGCUGCUAUUUGGAAAUAAAUUUUUACAAGUAUCUCAUAAAAAUGUGCCAUGCUUGCAUUCAGCCUAAAAGAACUACUACAUUCAGUAAA